rnacentral:misc_RNA from 1 species
CCAAGAUCAUGGCGAACCUCGCGUUUCGCGAGGUCUUGCGUCCAUUUUUUUCGUAUUUAAAACAUCCACUCAAAAAAAAAUUUAUUAAUGAUAAAUAAAAAGA